GUGACACCCUAUUUUUUUUCCACCCAUUUCUAAAGUCAGAGGACACCUGGUAAAGAAGCUGGUUUUUAGAUAAAGAAAUGCAAUUCCUGGUGCACGCGGUUUCCUGGUGGUACAGCACUGAAGUGACAUCAUGGAAAUAUUUGUACCUCAAGAGCCCUCCUUGAUGUGAGCACAAGGGACCUCCAUGCUCCUACUUCUGCUGGUCUCCAUUUCACCAGGCGCCUCCCUCCGACUUCCAAUUGGCCACAAGCUUCGUCGCUCUCUCUCAAAGCAAUUUUGUGUGACUUUCAAGCCCCAGUGAGCAAAGAGGGAACCUCACUUUUACACGAGGUGACCUUUGCACAGGCAGCCAUCG
rnacentral:lncRNA from 1 species